rnacentral:rRNA from 1 species
UGGCGUACGGGUGAGUAACGCGUGGGUGACCUACCCUGGGAUCUGGGAUAACACUGCGAAAGUGGUGCUAAUACCGGAUACGAUCCUGCAGCGAUGCAGGGUGAAAGUCGGCCUCUCGAAGAAGCUGAUGUUCUGGGAUGGGCUCGCGUCCUAUCAGCUAGUUGGUAGGGUAAUGGCCUACCAAGGCGACGACGGGUAGCUGGUCUGAGAGGAUGAUCAGCCACACUGGCACUGAAACACGGGCCAGACUCCUACGGGAGGCAGCAGUGAGGAAUUUUGCGCAAUGGGGGAAACCCUGACGCAGCAACGCCGCGUGGGUGAAGGAGGCCUUCGGGUCGUAAAGCCCUGUCAGGUGGGAAGAAUGUCCCAGGGGUGAACAAUUUUUGGGAGUGACGGUACCACCAGAGGAAGCACCGGCUAACUCCGUGCCAGCAGCCGCGGUAAUACGGAGGGUGCGAGCGUUGUUCGGAAUCAUUGGGCGUAAAGGGCGUGCAGGCGGCUGGGUAAGUCUGAUGUGAAAGCCCGGGGCUCAACCCCGGAAGAGCAUUGGAAACUGCCUAGCUUGAGUACCGGAGAGGAUGGGGGAAUUCCCGGUGUAGAGGUGAAAUUCGUAGAGAUCGGGAGGAAUACCAGUGGCGAAGGCGCCCAUCUGGACGGAUACUGACGCUGAGACGCGAAAGCGUGGGGAGCAAACAGGAUUAGAUACCCUGGUAGUCCACGCUGUAAACGAUGAGCACUAGGUGUAGCGGGUAUUGACCCCUGCUGUGCCGCAGCUAACGCAUUAAGUGCUCCGCCUGGGGAUUACGGUCGCAAGACUAAACUCAAGGAAUUGACGGGGGCCCGCACAAGCGGCGGAGCAUGUGGUUUAAUUCG